UGGGGAAUUUUGGACAAUGGGCGAAAGCCUGAUCCAGCAAUGCCGCGUGUGUGAAGAAGGCCUUCGGGUUGUAAAGCACUUUUGUCCGGAAAGAAAUCCUUGGCUCUAAUACAGUCGGGGGAUGACGGUACCGGAAGAAUAAGCACCGGCUAACUACGUGCCAGCAGCCGCGGUAAUACGUAGGGUGCAAGCGUUAAUCGGAAUUACUGGGCGUAAAGCGUGCGCAGGCGGUUUGCUAAGACCGAUGUGAAAUCCCCGGGCUCAACCUGGGAACUGCAUUGGUGACUGGCAGGCUAGAGUAUGGCAGAUGGGGGUAGAAUUCCACGUGUAGCAGUGAAAUGCGUAGAGAUGUGGAGGAAUACCGAUGGCGAAGGCAGCCCCCUGGGCCAAUACUGACGCUCAUGCACGAAAGCGUGGGGAGCAAACAGGAUUAGAUACCCUGGUAGUCCACGCCCUAAACGAUGUCAACUAGUUGUUGGGGAUUCAUUUCCUUAGUAACGUAGCUAACGCGUGAAGUUGACCGCCUGGGGAGUACGGUCGCAAGAUUAAAACUCAAAGGAAUUGACGGGGUCAUAGCUGUUUCCU
rnacentral:rRNA from 1 species